GUUGCUUCCGGAGUGAGACUCUGGGUCCACCUCCCACCCGUGUUUAUUUUACCUUGUUGCUUCGGCGGGCCCGCCUUAACUGGCCGCCGGGGGGCUUACGCCCCCGGGCCCGCGCCCGCCGAAGACACCCUCGAACUCUGUCUGAAGAUUGUAGUCUGAGUGAAAAUAUAAAUUAUUUAAAACUUUCAACAACGGAUCUCUUGGUUCCGGCAUCGAUGAAGAACGCAGCGAAAUGCGAUACGUAAUGUGAAUUGCAAAUUCAGUGAAUCAUCGAGUCUUUGAACGCACAUUGCGCCCCCUGGUAUUCCGGGGGGCAUGCCUGUCCGAGCGUCAUUUCUGCCCUCAAGCACGGCUUGUGUGUUGGGCCCCGUCCUCCGAUCCCGGGGGACGGGCCCGAAAGGCAGCGGCGGCACCGCGUCCGGUCCUCGAGCGUAUGGGGCUUUGUCACCCGCUCUGUAGGCCCGGCCGGCGCUUGCCGAUCAACCCAAAUUUUUAUCCAGGUUGACCUCGGAUCAGGUAGGGAUACCCGCUGAACUUAAGCAUAUCAA
rnacentral:rRNA from 1 species